rnacentral:tRNA from 2 species
CGGGGUGUAGCGCAGUUGGCCAGCGCGCUGCGUUUGGGACGCAGAGGUCGGCGGUUCAAGUCCGCCCACCCCGACCA